rnacentral:rRNA from 1 species
UACAGAGGGUGCGAGCGUUGUUCGGAAUUACUGGGCGUAAAGCGCGCGUAGGCGGCGAUGCAAGUCAGGGGUGAAAGCCCACAGCUCAACUGUGGAAUUGCCUUUGAAACUGUAUUGCUUGAGUGUUGGAGGGGAUAGCGGAAUUGCUAAUGUAGAGGUGAAAUUCGUAGAUAUUAGCAGGAACACCGGUGGCGAAGGCGGCUAUCUGGACAACAACUGACGCUGAGGCGCGAAAGCGUGGGGAUCAAGCAGG